UAACCUAUAUCGUGAGAUAUAGCUGAACAUUCAGAAGUCAGCUCAAGUCAUAGUACUGUUUGAACCUACCGAAAGGAUAGGUAAGGGAAGGAC
rfam:Thermoanaerobacter pseudethanolicus ATCC 33223, complete genome.